rnacentral:tRNA from 2 species
CAAAAAAUAGUUUAAUAAAAACAAUUUAUUUACAUUAAAUUAAUACUUUUUAGUUUUUUUGA